rnacentral:rRNA from 1 species
UAGUCCACACCGUAAACGAUGAAUACUAGAUGUCGGAGGUUCUUACCCCUUCGGUGUCGCAGCUAACGCAUUAAGUAUUCCGCCUGGGGACUACGGUCGCAAGAUUAAAACUCAAAGAAAUUGACGGGGGCCCGCACAAGCGGUGGAGUAUGUUGUUUAAUUCGAGGCAACGCGAAAAACCUUACCUGGGCUUGACAUCCCGCGCUAUCCUGUGAAAGCAGGAGUUCUCUUCGGAGACGCGGUGACAGGUGCUGCAUGGCUGUCGUCAGCUCGUGUCGUGAGAUGUUGGGUUAAGUCCCGCAACGAGCGCAACCCUUGUUGCUAGUUGCCAGCAUUAAGUUGGGCACUCUAGUGAGACCGCUUGCCGAUAAGGCAGAGGAAGAUGGGGAUGACGUCAAGUCAGCAUGGCCCUUACGUCCAGGGCUACAAACGUACUACAAUGGCCAGCACAGAGCGUUGCGAACUCGCGAGAGUAAGCUAAUCGCAGAAAACUGGUCUCAGUUC